rnacentral:lncRNA from 1 species
UGUGUAUUUGUGUAAGAGAGGAUGGGGUGGGGGGAGGGGAUGAACUGGGACAGUGAAGGCAUAAAAGGCUUCCACCAUCCAUGCAUGGAAAAGAAGAGAGGCGCACUCAAAUGUGUGUGGUUGUUUUAAAUUGCUCCAGCAGGCUCCCAAGUCUUUAGAUAGUUGGGCAAGAACAGUCAAGACAACAGUAUGAAGGCAUCUAGAAUGACCAUCCUCGCCCUUUCCAUGCCGUUUUAUUUUCUGAUUCAAACUGGGAAAGGGCUGGCUGCUGAUGUCGACCCGGCUGGAACUGUAAAAUUUAGGAAGAACUUCCAGCCCAGUCACAGAGACAUAGAGGUAGAAGAGAGGAAACAGCCUUCCCUUAGAUUGUGGAAGGCUGCAGAAGGGAAAGCCCAGUUAGGUGAUGGAGAGAACGACAAAGCAGCAAGCAAUUUGCAACUGGGAACCAGUAAGCAGAGGCCAAGUGGCAAGAGGCCGUUUCUCCCACUGUCCCCUCCAAAGAGCAAGGGUCAAGGGCCUGAGGCCCACUUGGAAGGCCAUGGGAACUUCAAUACAGAUACGUAUUCCUGCUCUGGUAUCCAGUUGAAAGCCUGCCGAAAACCGUCUGAUUGUGAUGGCUGCUUGGGCCUCUAUACUUGCAAACUUCCAAAAGGAAAGUGCGACUUCAAAGCAGUUUCCCGACAAACAGGUGGCUUCCUCCGGAGUAUUGAGGAAAGAUUAAAUAUACGGUCUCGGUGAAAAGCUGAUCCAAAACAUUUCAGUGUAUUUUGGGAUGGAGAUGAAUUAAAUAAAUUAUCUUGACCAUGAAAACUGCUGCCGAAU